GAUGAACGCUGGCGGCGUGCUUAACACAUGCAAGUCGAACGUGAGAGGUAGCAAUAUCUUGAAAGUGGCGAACGGUGAGUAACACGUAGGUGACCUGCCUCGGAGUGGGGGAUAACAGUUAGAAAUGACUGCUAAUACCGCAUGAAUCCACGGGAUUGGGAAAUUCGGUGGAGAAAACUCUGGUGCUUCGAGAGGGCCUGCGGUCGAUUAGCUAGUUGGCGGGUAACGGCCCACCAAGGCGACGAUCGAUAGCUGGUCUGAGAGGACGAUCAGCCACACGGGAACUGAGACACGGUCCCGACUCCUACGGGGGGCAGCAGUGAGGAAUAUUGGGCAAUGGGCGGAAGCCUGACCCAGCAACGCCGCGUGAAGGAAUGAAGGCCUUCGGGUUGUAAACUCCUUUUG
rnacentral:rRNA from 1 species